GUCGAGCGAGUCUGCCUUGAAGAUCGGAGUGCUUGCACUCUGUGAAACAAGAUACAGGCUAGCGGCGGACGGGUGAGUAACACGUGGGUAACCUGCCCAAGAGAUCGGGAUAACACCUGGAAACAGAUGCUAAUACCGGAUAACAACAGAUGAUGCCUAUCAACUGUUUAAAAGAUGGUUCUGCUAUCACUCUUGGAUGGACCUGCGGUGCAUUAGCUAGUUGGUAGGGUAACGGCCUACCAAGGCGAUGAUGCAUAGCCGAGUUGAGAGACUGAUCGGCCACAUUGGGACUGAGACACGGCCCAAACUCCUACGGGAGGCAGCAAUAGGGAAUCUUCCACAAUGGACGCAAGUCUGAUGGAGCAACGCCGCGUGAGUGAAGAAGGGUUUCGGCUCGUAAAGCUCUGUUGUUGGUGAAGAAGGACAGGGGUAGUAACUGACCUUUGUUUGGCGGUAAUCAAUUAGAAAGUCACGGCUAACUACGUGCCAGCAGCCGCGGUAAUACGUAGGUGGCAAGCGUUGUCCGGAUUUAUUGGGCGUAAAGCGAGUGCAGGCGGCUCGAUAAGUCUGAUGUGAAAGCCUUCGGCUCAACCGGAGAAUUGCAUCAGAAACUGUCGAGCUUGAGUACAGAAGAGGAGAGUGGAACUCCAUGUGUAGCGGUGAAAUGCGUAGAUAUAUGGAAGAACACCGGUGGCGAAAGCGGCUCUCUGGUCUGUUACUGACGC
rnacentral:rRNA from 1 species